rnacentral:rRNA from 1 species
ACGAACGCUGGCGGCGUGCCUAACACAUGCAAGUCGAACGGUCUCAGUUGGUCAGCUUGCUGACCGGCUGAGAUAGUGGCGGACGGGUGAGUAACGCGUGAGCAACCUGGCUCGAAGAGUGGAAUAACGUAGGGAAACCUGCACUAAUACCGCAUAACAUACGGGUAUCGCAUGGUACCUGUAUCAAAGGAGAAAUCCGCUUUGAGAUGGGCUCGCGUCCGAUUAGAUAGUUGGCGGGGUAACGGCCCACCAAGUCUGCGAUCGGUAGCCGGACUGAGAGGUUGAACGGCCACAUUGGGACUGAGAUACGGCCCAGACUCCUACGGGAGGCAGCAGUGGGGGAUAUUAGACAAUGGGGGAAACCCUGAUCUAGCAACGCCGCGUGAAGGAUGAAGGUUUUCGGAUUGUAAACUUCUUUGACGAGGGAAGAUAAUGACGGUACCUCGAGAGCAAGCCACAGCUAACUACGUGCCAGCAGCCGCGGUAAUACGUAGGUCGCGAGCGUUGUUCGGAUUUACUGGGUGUAAAGGGCGUGUAGGCGGGACUGCAAGUCAGAUGUGAAAUACGGAGGCUUAACCUCCGGGCUGCAUUUGAAACUGCAAUUCUUGAGUGAUGGAGAGGUAAGCGGAAUUCCCGGUGUAGAGGUAAAAUUCGUAGAUAUCGGGAGGAACACCAGUGGCGAAGGCGGCUUACUGGACAUUAACUGACGCUGAGGCGCGAAAGUGUGGGGAGCAAACAGGAUUAGAUACCCUGGUAGUCCACACUGUAAACGAUGGAUACUAGGUGUGGGGGGACUGACCCCUUCCGUGCCGGAGUUAACACAAUAAGUAUCCCACCUGGGGAGUACGGUCGCAAGAUUAAAACUCAAAGGAAUUGACGGGGACCCGCACAAGCAGUGGAGUAUGUGGUUUAAUUCGACGAUACGCGAAAAACCUUACCAAGGCUUGACAUCCUACUAACGAAGUAGAGAUACAUUAGGUGCCCCUCGGGGAAAGUAGAGACAGGUGGUGCAUGGUUGUCGUCAGCUCGUGUCGUGAGAUGUUGGGUUAAGUCCCGCAACGAGCGCAACCCUUACGGUUAGUUGCUACGCAAGAGCACUCUAGCCGGACUGCCGUUGACAAAACGGAGGAAGGUGGGGACGACGUCAAAUCAUCAUGCCCUUUAUGUCUUGGGCUACACACGUACUACAAUGGUGGUCAACAACGGGCAGCGAAGCCGCGAGGCGGAGCAAAUCCCCAAAAGCCACCCCAGUUCAGAUUGCAGGCUGCAACCCGCCUGCAUGAAGCCGGAAUUGCUAGUAAUCGCAGAUCAGCAUGCUGCGGUGAAUACGUUCCCGGGUCUUGUACACACCGCCCGUCAAACCAUGAAAGUCGGAAACACCCGAAGUCUGUAGCCUAACCGCAAGGAGGGCGCAGCCGAAGGUGGGUUCGGUGAUUGGGGUU